GACGAACCGUGCGAACGUUAUUCGGAAUCACUGGGCUUAAAGCGCGUGUAGGCGGAUGGGUACGUCGGUCGCUGAAAUCCCCCGGCUCAACCGGGGAACGGGCGCCGAAACGACCCGUCUGGAGGGACGUAGGGGGACCUGGAACUUCCGGUGGAGCGGUGAAAUGCGCAGAUAUCAGGAGGAACACCGGUGGCGAAGGCGGGUCUCUGGGCCGAAAUUGACGCUGAGGAGCGAAAGCGUGGGGAGCAAACAGG
rnacentral:rRNA from 1 species